GGUUAAGACCAUGCUAACAAGGCACCCGAUAAACAAUAGACAGAUAAACAAGUCGCGGACCAGAACCAUUAACAGAACACAGAUAAACAAUUCGCUGACCAGAACAACAAGCAAUAAACAGAUGAACAAUUCGUGGAUCAGAACGCUAAACAAGGGAAGGUAAACGAGACUCGGUAAGGGAAAAAAAAAGCAAAAGAGGAGAGUAAAGUGGAAAGGGAAAGGGUAAGGAAGGACGAAGAAGAACAAUGGAAAGGAAGAGAAAGAAGAAGGAAGGCAAAAAUACAAGGGCAAACGAGGACAUAGAAAGAGAGGAAAGGGAGGAGGAAGGUUAGAGAAAAGAUAAAGGAUAAGAGAAAAGAUGGAAAAGGAAAAGAAAGAAGGAAGGGAAAUUCAAGGGAAAACGAUGACAUAGAAUUAGAAAGAGAGGAAAGGGAUGAGACAGGUACGAGAAAGACAAAGGAUAGAAGAGGAGAUGGAAAAUGAGAUGAUAAAAAAAAAUGAUUAAAAAGUCGCAGGUCAGAACAAAUAACAAUGCAAGUCAACAAUUCCUAGAUGAGAACAAUUAACAACAAACAUAAAUAAUUCGCUGGGCAGAACAAUUAUCAAACAUUCACCAUACGACUGCGCCCUCCUUCUGCCUUUCUCUGCCCCUCGCUGUACAUAUAAUCGCCUCAAAUCUACAUUAAAAAAAAUAAAAA